CUGAGAUAAGGAAUGCUCCAGAGAGGAGCACAAAAAAGGGGUUACAGACAGGAGUGUGGGUGCUCCCUCCCAAAGGCUCCACCGGAGUCAUUGCUUUCCCAUAGUUGCAGAAUGGAGGCCUCACCUAAGUCUCACCAGCAACGCACUCUAGCCUUGCUCUGCACAGCAGUCAGGGCAGAACCGCACACGUGUGGCAUGGAAUGACUAGAUACUCAGGUAAGGGUUCUGUGCCCUGCCUCUCACCAUCCUUCCUUAGAUGGAGGGCAG
rnacentral:lncRNA from 1 species